GGUCUAUUCCUAUUGUGUUUUCAAUAACUAUUGUUUCACUUCAUUUUUCUGUGGUUUCAGUUUUGUUCAAAUCUUGAGAUAAUAUUGUUUUCAAUAAAUCGGUAGUGCCAAAGUGAUGUGCCAUACAAUAACAAAUCAGUAAACAAAUAUGCUAAUGCAAUCAAUAACAUACAGUGCUACUAUGGAGCAAGAUAGAAGCCGUAAACAACAAUUAGCACAUGAAGAGGAGAGUUGUGCACUUGAAAAACCUGCAAAACAAAAGAGUUUUAAAUUAGAACAGAGUGUCAGUCCUUUACUUCAAUGUGGCAGAAAGUUAUCUUCAGAUUAUUCCUCGAAUGGUGAUGUUGACAUCUUUUACGCUGAUCCCUCCUCUCACACAGGAAUAAGGAUUACAAUAAGAAGACCAUUAAAUUCCAAGACAGAGGAUCCAGAAAGACAGAAAAUGUUGGAAGAUAUGAAAACUGUAGAAAAGAAAGUAGGAGUGAUUUCAAUCGCCUUUAUAAUUACUGUGUUGCUCAUUUUUGCCUUUAUAAUUUUUGUCUACUUAACCAUGGAAAAGAAGGUCGCAGGCUAGUUACAUACAGUAAGACUAGCAUGAAGACAACAAGCAAUGGGCUCCUGACUGAGUAAUGUACCACUCUCUCUUCCCUCAGUAAAAGAACUCAGAACAACUUUGGAAUUAGUAUGCUCAAGUAAAAAGCCAAAUGCAGUGACUAUGUGGUCUUCCUUUGAAAGAUUACUGCUUUAAAAAAAAAGAAAAGAAAAAAAAACACAUUAGUAGGUAAUUUAUCCAUAUGCCUAUCUCAGAAUACAAGAAAGCAAAUGGCACAGAGUAACCUUUUCAAGAUGGAGAAUAUAAUUAAGAAAUCUCUCUGUAUUCAUUAUUGUACCCACUUAAUAUGCUUCUGAAUUUUGGCAGACAUAAAAAGCAGAAUAUUGUUUUUAAAUAAGAGAAUAAGUUAUAGAUGAUAUUUCCUUUACUACUCAAAUGAUCUGAUGAAACAUACAUCUUUUAUUAAGAGCUAAUUGUGGAAUUCUUAGUCAUUUGAUCACUAAUAGUAAUAAACUUUGAUUUGCUUAAGGCAAUUUGAUCACAAAACAUCCUUAGAGAGACAUUACUAAUAUCUAUAGUUUUUGCUAAUUUCUUCUUACAAUUUAGAACUUUUAUGGCAUGAAGAGACAUUUGAAAUGAUAACAUUAAUACCCAGAAUAAAUUCCCCAAAUCAACAAUUGGGAUUCCCAAUGAAAUUUGU
rnacentral:lncRNA from 1 species